UUCUCCUUUCUUUUUCUUCAGAUUAAAGACAUUUAAUGUCAGAGGCUCCAACAAAUUUUCAGGAAUCUUGAUCCAAAGACAAGGCUUGCCUUAUGCUACAAAAGAAGCAUUCAAAAUCAUUCGUGAAUAGUUAAACAGAACAGACGGACCCUAAGAUUUGGAGGAUCAGAAAAAUUGAUGGCAAUAGCAAAUUGUAAAACAAAAAUGCUUUACGCGGCACGGCCGAGUCAAUUUCAUAUUUGACGAAGGAGAUGAGCCUGGGGCAUAUCUAUGCAUGUGACCAAGAUUUAUUGCAAGGAUGGGUCAUAUAAAAGUCGGUCCAAGAUUUAUUUUGUUUUUUUCUAUUAUUGGCUCAUUGUCUGAAUGUCUGUCAUUACUUCAUCGGCGCCAUGGUUGCAUCGACAUCGA